CAUUUGUCUUUUAAAUGGAGACUCGUAUGAACGGCGAAACCUUUUUCAACUGUCUCCCCUCCCACCCUUUUAAAUUUCUUCCUGUGUGAAGAAGCACAGAUAUAUUAGAAAGACGAGAAGACCCUGUCGAGCUUUAGUCACCAAGUGGACCGCUUCCUUUUAAGGUACCACCUAAAGGCUUUGGUUGGGGCAACCAUGGAGAAAAAAAAAUCCUCCAGAACAAAUAGAAGAAAACCCUUCACUAUUUUAAAAUUAAGAACCAGGAACUGGUAUUCGGAAAAAGUUACCGCAGGGAUAACAGCGUCAUCUCCUCUAAGAGUCCUUAUUGACGAGGAGGUUUGCGACCUCGAUGUUGGAUUGGGGCCCCCUUAGGGUGCAGAAGCUCUAAACGGUUAGACUGUUCGUCUAUUAAAGCCCUACAUGAUCUGAGUUCAAACCGGAG
rnacentral:rRNA from 1 species